GCGAGAGUGGCGGAAUAGGCAGACGCGCACGGUUGAGGGCCGUGUCCCCGCAAGGGGGUGGGGGUUCAAGUCCCCCCUCUCGCA
rnacentral:tRNA from 1 species